rnacentral:rRNA from 1 species
GCUCAGAUUGAACGCUGGCGGCAUGCCUUACACAUGCAAGUCGAACGGCAGCGCGGGGCAACCUGGCGGCGAGUGGCGAACGGGUGAGUAAUAUAUCGGAACGUACCCUGGAGUGGGGGAUAACGUAGCGAAAGUUACGCUAAUACCGCAUACGAUCUAAGGAUGAAAGUGGGGGAUUCGCAAGAACCUCAUGCUCCUGGAGCGGCCGAUAUCUGAUUAGCUAGUUGGUAGGGUAAAAGCCUACCAAGGCAUCGAUCAGUAGCUGGUCUGAGAGGACGACCAGCCACACUGGAACUGAGACACGGUCCAGACUCCUACGGGAGGCAGCAGUGGGGAAUUUUGGACAAUGGGCGCAAGCCUGAUCCAGCAAUGCCGCGUGAGUGAAGAAGGCCUUCGGGUUGUAAAGCUCUUUUGUCAGGGAAGAAACGGCCUGUUCUAAUACAGUGGGCUAAUGACGGUACCUGAAGAAUAAGCACCGGCUAACUACGUGCCAGCACCGCGGUAAUACGUAGGGUGCAAGCGUUAAUCGGAAUUACUGGGCGUAAAGCGUGCGCAGGCGGUUUUGUAAGUUUGUCGUGAAAUCCCCGGGCUCAACCUGGGAAUGGCGAUGAAAACUGCAAGGCUAGAGUUUGGCAGAGGGGGGU